CAGGAACACCCCGAGGGGAAGCGAUUCGAUUCAUCCAGAGAGGCUGCAGCCAUGAGCUGAAACGGGCCCCCGGAAACCAGUUCAGCGAUCACAGGGCCCAAAUGGAAACCAGAGAGCUCCGAAUAGGCCACAGCGGUCAGUUACCCAGGACUGCAGAGACACCCUUCACUCCUGCAGGCGUUUGAUCUGACUCCACCAGAAGGUCCAGUCGCCAACGCCUAGCUGAGGUCCCAGGCCAGGCCUUACCCCCAACCCCUACCCUCUCAGCCUCCAAUUGAAAGAAGGCCUGCCGGCUCCAACUCAAUUAGCACAAAGGCGGCGGCGGGCACCCUGGUCUGUGCCGCAGGGCAGGGAGCAUCCUGGCGGGCAGGUAGAGAGAAGUCCGCUAGCCCCCGGUGUUAUCAGCAAGCGGCUUAAUCUGGAAUUUGAGCUGACAACGUGCGCACCGCCACCCGGGCUCCGCCAGCCGGUUGACGGUGGGGGUGAGACCCGAGAGGCUGGACUCCCAGGCUUCAAAGCUGCCCGAGGUGCGGCGGCCUUGGGGAAGGGGGCGCCCGGCGACAAUCGGCAACCUCGAGCGCCGCCUGGACAGAAGCCGGCGGGCCAGUGGGCGCUGGACCAUCUUCCCUGCGAAGCUCUGCUGCACUGACACUGAGCAGCCUCCAGAGGAAUCCAAGCUUGCAGAGAGAAACGCAGAGCGAGGAGUCGAAAGGGAA
rnacentral:lncRNA from 1 species